GCCUCUCCACCUACAUGUGUGCUGUGCGGGACAAGAGAGUGCGGAAAUUGUCGCCAACGCUUUCAUUUGCGUCAUCGAAGGAAUGCACACUUCCCGUCACUAAACCACCCAGUUUGUGUCGUGCUGGAGAUCACCGAGUUAUGUUAUUACAUACGAAUUGUCAUCUUCCCAUGAAUCCUUAUCCUACAAAGGAGACUCAGUAAGAGCUCCCUCCACUAAAGAAACCCUUCCUAAAAACGAAAAGAACUAUCAUGGCAACUGGUGAAAGCACAGAACAGAGGUGGAAUGGAAAUUCAGAAGACAAGACAGAAGACACACCUUCC